rnacentral:rRNA from 1 species
AUUGAACGCUGGCGGCAUGCUUUACACAUGCAAGUCGAACGAGUGGCGAACGGGGGAGUAAUAUAGCGAAACGUACCGAGUAAUGGGGGAUAACCAAUCGAAAGAUUGGCUAAUACCGCAUACAAUUCGAGCGGCCUGACACUGAUUAGCUAGUUGGUGGGGUAAAGGCCUACCAAGGCGACGAUCAGUAGCGGGUCUGAGAGGACGAUCCGCCACACGGGUACUGAGACACGGCCCAGACUCCUACGGGAGGCAGCAGUGGGGAAUUUUGGACAAUGGGGGCAAGCCUGAUGCAGCCAUGCCGCGUGUAUGAAGAAGGCCUUCGGGUUGUAAAGUACUUUUGUUAGGGAAGCGGUACCUAAAGAAGAAGCACCGGCUAACUACGUGCCAGCAGCCGCGGUAAUAC